rnacentral:snRNA from 1 species
GCCCUUCGGGGCAUAUGGUCAACUGAAAAUAUACAGAGAAGAUUAGCAUGGCCCCUGCGCUAUGACAUGACUCUUUUUCCUUCGAGAUUCUAGGGCAUUUU